AAAGUUAUUUCAAGUCAGCUACUCAUACUUCUAUUAUACAUUGUUAUAUGGCUAUGACCAAAAUUAGCCAAGUUCCUUAUAUUUAAGAUUAUAGAUUUUCUGAAGCCUGUUUUUUUCUUGUUCCUUGUGUUUGCAGAAUUGGUAUAUACUCUCCAGAUGAAGUAAUUCUUUUGGGAACCAAAAAGCAAACACCAAAAGAAAAUUUUACCUUUGAAGGAAAGAGCCCUCCUAAUCAUCAGGGAUACAUGUAGCGAUACCAUUGCUAUCAUGCUCCUGUGAAACAGCAACAUCUUAUUUUUACUCUUUCAAUGUCUUUAUUUAGAAAAGAUGUCCCAUUGUGACAUGGAAUGAGCUAACAUCAGAAAUUCCUGUAUUUUUCAAGUAAAGGUAAAAAUGUCUAUCUUGAAACUUUAGCAACAUUUAAACAGUAACUUGAAACUGUUUCAAUCACUUAGUACACAGAUCAACCAUAUCUUACAACUCUGACUGAAGAAAAAAAGAACAAAAAUUUCACCAGCUUAAAUACUUUUCUACUUGUAUGAUCUGGUUUGAACCAAAAUAUAGAAGAAAUGCCUGCGCCUCUAAAAAGGAUGGAAGUGGACAGCAGGAGGGCAAAGUGGAACCAGAGAGACCAGUUAGGAGGCUAUCUCAAUAAUCCAGGACUUGAUUCAGUUCUGGCCAAUGAGAUGUAAGCCGAUGUUGGAUAAAAGUUGUUACAGAAUGGGAAAGAGCCUGAAAAGUGAGCAGACAUUUGGGAUUAGUUCCUUUGUCCCCCCCCCCCCUUUUUUUUCUGUCUUUAGGAAGUUGAAUAUACUAUGAUGGUUGGGGCUUCUGCAGUAAUUUUUGACCACUAAAUGCCCUUGAAGAUGGACUGUGACUGCUAGGAUCAUGGAACGAAAAACAGUAAGAGCCCUGGGCUUCCUAUCUCAACACUUAUUUUAUGUGAAAGAAAAAUAAGUUUAUUUUUUAUUUAAGUCACAGUGAAUUUACGUUUUCUGUCUAUGCUAGUAUCUGCCGUGUGAUAUAUACAGCCACUAUUGGUUGAGCCCUAUUACAUUUCAGGCAUAGUGCUAAGAAAUUUAUAUUAUUAGCUCGAUUAAUAAUCACAGCAAUCCUAUGGCAUAGGUGCUAUGAUUUCCACCAAUUUAAAGAGGAGAAAAAUGAAACUUGGAAGAUGUACAUAAAUUGCCCCAAAUCACACAGUUGGCAUAUAACAGAGAUGAGUGUCAAAUUUGUUUGCUUGGGUAUUACCUGCUACAGCAUGCUGUCGGGUGGGGAUAAAACUUAACUGAAGUUCUGAGAGUCUUAUUUGAAGCUACUAUGUUUCUCUAAGUUUAACAACUUUAUCAUUGACCAAGUGUACUUCUCAGGCUUGUCUUCACUCACAUACUGUUUUGGCAAAUCCCAAUCCUAUCCAAGACCUCAUUCCACUACAGUUAUGCUACAGUCCAGUAAGACUUUUAAAUCUUGUCAAAAUCUGUUUCAUAUAGUUCUCUCUGCUAACAAUUCCUAGGUAGAGGGAGAGCUAUUCUCUCAGAGGUUAGGUCUUUGUUCAGACUCGAAAGGAGGUAGCAGCUGGCCUAAAAUUAUGACUGGCAUCUGGUCUCAGACUCAUUAUGGUUGACCUGAUGCUUUCUCAGAUUCUCUGAAAUGUUUUUCCUCUGAGAGCAAAGCUUCCAGGAACCUAAAACACCUGUAUUAACUGGUGACCUAAAAGGAGCACUUACCUGCUAACUUCCUGGCUAAUUUUCAAGUAGCGAAGACAGCUGUGUGCAUUAGCUUAUGUAGAUGUUUUUGUUUCAGAAUAAAUAUAAAUUACAGAGAUAAAAGACUGUAAAAUCAUUUUAUUCAUGAGUGGAUUACGAGAGGGUAGGCAUGAAUGGAAAGGGUUAAUUAGUCUAUUCAAAAUUACGUGGAUAUUUACCAUUUAUUGAAUGCCUAUUAGGUGCCAGAUGACACAUGAUGUACUUUACUUCUCUCAUUUGAGACAAUCCUUGUACCAGCCCCUAUGAGGCAGAGCACAAUUUGUAAAUAUGAUGAUGUUCAUGACAUUGAUUGAAUUGCCAAAGGUCACACGGUGGGCAUUUAUGUACAGAUCUGUCUCCAAAGUGCAGGCUCUUUCAUUUUUAUAAUUCCAUGCCAAAGUAUUCAGUGCUUUGGAAUAUUUUGAACAGAAAUCUGUUUUAUAGAACUUCAGGAAUAUUAAAGACUAAAGUGCCGCUUGUAAACAACUCUGGAUCACUGACUGGUUUUUUUUGAUGUGUCCAGAUACCACAUCCUUCUCUUUCUUGCUGCUACCCUUUGACUAUUUCAUAUAUGGUAGAAGAAAGAAUACAGUUAAUUAAUUUUUUUAUUAUUAAUUGCUUUGGCAAAAGUUUUGAUGUGGAAGGAAAUGGAAAUUACUGAUUAAAAUGAACUUUGUUUGUUAUCUUUCAAUUUCAUUUAAUGGUACAUUACCG